rnacentral:lncRNA from 1 species
ACCAUGUACCAUUUUACAAAGAAAACAAUAAAAACAAGUUAGAAAUUACAUUCAUUUUAUAAAUUCAGCACUUACAUAAUAAAAAUUCAGCAUUAUGAGCAUUUACAAAAUACACAUGAAAAGUCAUCUUAAAUUCAUAUCAUUCAUCUCUAAAAUUCAACACAUGCACAUACAUUCACAUCAUAUGUAAAACCAUUAAAACAAGUCAAAUUCAAUAAAAAAUUUGCAUGUUAUGCAUAUACCAUGAAUAAAUUCCAUAAUAUUUAUCACUUUCAUUCCACUUCUAUACAACAAGUAAAACCUCAUAAAUCAUAUGCAUUAAAAGAAAAAUUCAGCAUUCAUGUAAUACAUCACUUCAUCCAUGAACAUCAAUCCAAAUGCAUAUAUAAUUCAUUCAUUCAUACCAUGUAAAUGGCCAAGCAUGUAUUCAAGUGAUGUCAUGUAAAUUCAUUCAAUUUUCCUCACAUUCACUAAAAAAUUCAGCAUAUGCACAUGCAUGUAAAUUCACACACAUCCAUGCCUUAGCCAUCCUAACUACCUUAAACUUACACAAACUACUUCUAACUACUUUGGGCAAUUACCCAAAGUGCCCAAAACAGUCCGAAUUAAUUUCUAACCAAUUUUCAACCUCUAAUCAUCCCUCACCUAGUUUCUAUAUAAGCAUUCAUCAUUCACUCUCUAAAGUUUCCUUCUUCUUCACUUUUUGAUUCCACUCAUUCUUCAUUUUCUCUCAAGUUUUCACUCUCCAUUCUCCAUUCUUCAACCUUCCCUCACUAGAGCUCAAAUCCAUGGUUGUUGAAGCUUCACAUUUAAACUUCAAUCAACUUGAGCAUAAACCUCCACCAUACUUCAUUUCAUAGUUUUUCAUGAUUCAAGCACCAAAAAGAUCAACAACAACAAGAAAAUAAAUGGAAGAAAAGAAAGGGGAUGAAGAAGAAAUGAAGACAAAUUGAAGAAUUUCUUACCGUAUUGAAUUGGUGCCGCCAUUGAAGAACCAUCGGAGGGUCUCCGAUCGGUAAGCCUCAAACUUUAUUUAUCACUCCAUGAAUGCUUGCUUGCUUGUUUGAGUUAUCUUUGCAUGCUUGUUUAUGUAUUUACCUUGAUUUUCAUCUUGUGUGGACGACUACCGUAAAAAUCCAAACCUUGCCAUGAACAAAAACAAUAGAAAAUUGAACAUCUUGUCAAUACCAAAACUUGACCUCCUUCAUCACUAAUUUCAACCUUCAUCAUUAAUUCACCAUAUACCGCCAAGAAUCAUUAUCGCAACCCUUGCCAAUACCAAAUCCAAACCCAAUUAAAUUCGUAGUUAUUAGACAAUCGAUUCCUAAUCCAAAAUAGUAAGAAAGAGAACCCGUAAUAGAACUGAAACAAGGCAAAAGGAGAAGAAAUUUGAUUCAAGUAUUUUAUCGAACACUUGCUAUGCGAGUUACGGAACGGUAAGCAUUAACUAAUUUACCAAACCGCAAAACUAAUUAGCAAGACA